AGACAGAGCUCUGGGCCUGACCUUUGCUUCAUUCUUCAUGGCUGCCAAGUGAGAGUGUGGCCCCUGCAGAUGGUUGGAUCAUCCAUCCAGUUCUUUGCUUCCUCUAGCUGAUAUCCUUCUUUGCUGUACUAUAUGGGAAAAGCAAGAAAUAUUUGACACCAAAAUUGCUUCCUUUGUGUGGCCCCGUAUUGCCCUGUAUAGAAGCAUUUCGUCUUCACAACAACUCUAUGAGAUCAACUGCAAGAACAAACCAGCAAUCCUGAGAGGAGCCGCAGACCCUCUGAAGGAAGCGGACUGCCCCUGCAGGACACAGGAGACACCCCAAAUACUGUGAGUGCCCCAACUGCGGAAGUGGGAAAGGGGGACCCUCCUCUUCCAAACACACAUCACCACUGGGGAAGCGGAAGGUCUGUUUUUGGGAGAAGUUUCCAACUUUACCUCAAGCUGAGUCAAGUUAGAGAGCUGAGCCGAGCAAAAUACAAGGGUAGAGGAAGCAGCAGAAAGGUCCUGGGAGCUCGUUGGGUCCCCAAGCAGCCCAUUCCUGCCUGACACCACAGGGAUCCAUCAGGAGGGUGGCCAGAGGAGAAGGGGGUAAAACUCCAUAGGGAGAAGGAAUUCUCUAGCUGAACUUUAUAACAAUUUGAAAGGGGCAAGAAGCCUCCUGACCAGAACCUAGGGGAGAGCAUGAAUCUGGUGUGCAGACUUCACAUGCAGGGGGAAGAACUGAAGCCCUUUUCUUCCACAGCUGGAAGGGAAAAAGCCUUGGGCAAGUUUUCAAGCCCAUCUCACCCUCCACCAGGAAACAGACUCGAGGCUGUUGGGGGAGGCACGGUGGGAGUGAGGCCGACCCUUCGGUUUCUGUGGGAGCUGGGUGAGGCCUGUGAUUGCCAGCCUUCCCCAACUUCCCUGACAACCUGUAUGACUCAACAGAGGCAGCCAUAAUCCUCCUAGGUACACAAUUCCAGUGACCUAGGAAUCCCACCCCCAUCCCCCACAGCAGCUGAAGCAAGACCUGCCCAAGGAGAGUCUGAGCUCAGACACACCCAGCCCCGCCCCCACCUUAUGGUCCUUCCCUACCCGCCCUGGUAGGGAAAGACAAAGGGCAUUUAAUCUUGGGAGUUCUAGGGCCCCACCCACCACCAGUCCCUUUCCACAUGACUACAGCUGAUGCUUUCUGGAAAGCACCACCUCCUGGCAGGAGGCCAACCAGCACAAAAAUAGAGCAUUAAACCACCGAAGUUAAGGACCCUCACGGAGUCCAUUAUACCCUCCUCCACCUCCACUGGAACAGGUGCUGGUAUCCAUGGCUGAGAGACCCACAGACGGUUCACAUCACAGGACUCUGUGCAGACAACCUCCAGUACCAGCCUGGAGCUGGCUAGACUCACUGGGUGGCUAGACCCAGAAAAGAGACAAUAAUCACUGCAGUUUGGCUCACAGGAAGCCACAUCCACAGGAAAAAGGGGGGUGUACUACAUCAAGGGAACACCCCAUGGGACAAAAGAAUCUGAACAACAGCCUUCAGCCCUAGACCUUCCCUCUGACAGAGCCUAUCCAAGUGAGAAGGAGCCAGACAAUCAACCCUGGUAAUAUGACAAAACAAGGCUGUUCAGUAUCCCCAAAAAAUCACACUAGUUCACCAGCAAUGGAUCCAAACCAAGAAGAAAUCCCGGAUUUACCUGAAAAAGAAUUCAGGAGGUUAGUUAUUAAGCUAAUCAGGGAGGGACCAGAGAAAGGAGAAGCCCAAUGCAAAAGUAUCCAGAAAAUGAUACAAGAAGUAAAGGGAGAAAUAUUCAAGGAAAUAGAUAGCUUACAGAAAAAAAUAAUUUAAAAAUUCAGGAAAUUUUGGACAUACUUUUAGAAAUGUCAGGUGCUUUGGAAAGUCUCAGCAAUAGAAUUGAACAAGCAGAAGAAAGAAAUUCAGAGCUUGAAGACAAGGUCUUCAAAUUAACACAAUCCAACAAAGACCUAGAAAAAAGAAUAAUAAAAUAUGAACAAAGCCUCCAAGAAGUCUGGGAUUAUGUUAAAUGACCAAACCUAAGAAUAAUCAAUGUUCCUGAGGAGGAAGACCUCACAUUUCAAUACAAUAUUGAAUAUAAAUGGUCUAAAUGCUCCAUUUAAAAGAAGAACCACAGAAUGGAUAAGAACUCACCAACCAACUCUCUGUUGCCUUCAGAAGACUCACCUAACACAUAAGGAUUCACAUAAACUUAAAGUAAAGGGGUGGAAAAAGGCAUUUCAUGCAAUGGACACCAAAAGCGAGCAGGGGUAGUUAUUCUUAUAUUAGACAAAACAAACUUUAAAGCAAUAGCAGUUAGAAGAGACAAAGAGGGACAUUAAUGGUAAAAAGACCUUGUUCAACAGGAAGCUAUCACAAUCCUAAACAUAUAUGCACCUAACACUGGAGCUCCAAAAUUUAUAAAACAAUUACUAUUAGACCUAAGAAAUGAGAUAAACAGCAACACAAUAGCAGUGGAGGACUUCAAUACUCUGCUAACAGCACUAGACAGGUCAUCAAGACAGAAAGUCAAUAAAGAAACAAAGGAUUUAAACUAUACCUUGGAACAAAUGGACUUAACAGAUAUAUACAGAACAUUUCAUCCAACAACUGCAUUCUAUUCAACAGAGCAUGGAACUUUCUCCAAGAUAGACCAUGUGAUAGGCCACAAAAUGAGCCUCAAUAGAUUUAGAAAAUUGAAAUUAUAUCAAGCACUCUGUCAGGCCAUAGUGGAAUAAAACUGGAAUUCAACUCCAAAAGGAACCUUCAAAACCAUGCAAAUACAUGGAAAUUAAGUAAUCUGCUCCUGAAUGAGCACUGGGUCAAAAACAAAAUCAAGAUGGAAAUUUAAAAAUUCUUUGAACUGAAUGACAAUAAUGACACAGCCUAUCAAAACCCCUGGGAUACAGAGUCGAAAGGCCUCUUCAAGGAAAACUACAAAACACUGCUGAAAGAAGUCAUAGAUGACACAAACAAAUGGAAACACAUCCCAUGCUCAUGGAUGGGUAGAAUUAAUAUUGUGAAAAUGACCAUACUGCCAAAAGCAAUCUACAAAUUCAAUGCAAUCCCCAUCAAAAUACCACCAUCGUUCUUCACAGAGUUGGAAAAAACAAUUCUAAAAUUCAUGUGGAACCAAAACAGAGCCCACAUAGCCAAACCAGGACUAAGCAAAAAGAACAAAUCCAGAGGCAUCACACUACCUGAUUUCAAACUAUACUAUAAAGCCAUAGUCACCAAAACAGCAUGGUACUGGUAUAAAAAUAGGCACACAGACCAAUGGAACAGAAUAGAGAACCCAGAAAUAAACCCAAAUACUUACAGCCAACUGAUCUUCAACAAAGCAAACAAAAUCAUAAACUGGGGGAAAGGACAUCAUUUUCAAUAAAUGGUGUUGGGAUAAUUGGCUAGCCACAUGUAGGAAAAUGAAACUGGAUCCUCAUCUCUCACCUUAAACAAAAAUCAACUAAAGAUGGAUUAAGGACUUAAACCUAAGACCUGAAACUAUAAAUAUUGUAGAAGAUAACAUUGGAAAAACCUUUCUAGACAUUGGCUUAGGCAAGGAUUUCAUGACCAAGAACCCAAAAACAAAUGCAAUAAAAACAAAGAUAAAUAGCUAGGACCUAAUUAAACUAAAGAACUUUUGCAUGGUAAAAGGAACAGUCAGCACAGUAAACAGACAACCACAGAGUGGGAGAAAAUGUUCACAAUCUAUACAUCUGACAAAGGACUAAUAUCCAGAAUAUACAACAAGCUCAAAUGAGUAAGAAAAAAAAUCCCAUCAAAAAGUGGCCCAAGGACAUGAACAGACAGCUCUCAAAAGAAGAUAUAUAAAUGGCCAACAAACAUAUGAAAGAAUGCUCAACAUCACCAAUGAUCAGGGAAAUGCAAAUCAAAACCACAAUGCGAUACCACCUCACUUCUGCAAGAAUGGCCAUUAUCAAAAAAUAAAAAAAAAACCAGUAGACGUUGGCAUGGGUGCAGUGAACAGGGAACCCUUCUGCAUUGCUGGUGGGAAUGUAAACUAGCCACAGUGGAAAACAGUAUAAACAGCCACUAUGGAAAACAGUGUAGAGAGUCCUUAAAGAACUAAAAGUAGGGUCGGGCGUGGUGGCUUACAUCUGUAAUCCCAGCACUUUGGGAGGCCAAGGCAGGUGGAUCACCUGUGGUCAGGAGUUCAAGACAAGCCUGGCCAACAUGGUGAAACCCCAUUUCUACUAAAAAGUAAAACUAGCCUGGCGUGGUGGUGAGUGCCUGAAUCCCAGCUUCUCGGGAGGCUGAGGCAGGAGAAUUACUUGAACCCAGGAGCCGGAGGUUGCAGUGAGCAGAGAUCAUGCCAUUGCACUCUAGCCUGGGUGACGAGAGAAACUCCGUUUCAAAAAAAAAAAAAAAAAAAAGAACAAAAAGUAGAACUAUGAUUUGAUCCAGCAAUCCCACUACUGGGUAUCUACCCAGAAGAAAAGAAGUCAUUACAUCAUUACACCAAAAAGAUACUUGCAUAUGCAUGUUUACAGCAGCACAAUUUACAAUUGCAAAAUCCUGGAACCAACCCAAAUGCCUAUCAAUCAACAAGUGGAUGAAGAGAUUGUGGUAUAUAUAUAGUGGCAUAUAUAUAUAUAUGAUGGAAUACUACGCAGACCUAAAAAGAAAUGAAUUAUCAGUGUUUGCAGUGACCUGGAUAAGACUGGAGACUAUUAUUCUAAGUGAAGGAACUCAGGAACGGAAAACCAAACAUCAUAUGUUCUCACUGAUAUGUGGGAGCUAAGCUAUGAGGAUGCAAAGGCAUAAGAAUGAUACAGUGGACUUUGGGGACUUGGGGGGAAGAGUGGGAGGGGGCAAGGGAUAAAAGACUACAAAUAUGGUGCAGUGUAUACUGCUCGGGUGAUGGAUGCACCAAAAUCUCACAAAUCACCACUAAAGAAUUUACUCAUGUAACCAAAUACCACCUGUACCCCAAUAACUUAUGGAAAAAAAAUUGUUAAAAAAUUGUUAAAAAAAAAAUUUGAGGCCAGGCAUGGUGGUUCACACCUGUAAUUCUAUUACAUUGGGAGGCCGAGGUGGGUGGAUACUUCCACCAAUUGCAUCUUUCUUUUUUUUUUUUUUUUGAGAUGGGGUCUCACUCUGUCACCCAGGUCAAGAGUUUGAGACCAGCCUGGCUAAGACGGUAAAACCCUGUCUCUACUAAAAAUACAAAAAUUAGCCGGACAUGGUGGCAGGCGCUGGUAAUCCCAGCUCCUUGGGAGGCUGAGGUAGAGAAUUGCUUGAACCCGGGAGGUGGAGGUUGUGGUGAGUCGAGAUCACGCCACUGCACUCCAGCCUGGGUGACAGAGCGAGACUCCAUCUCAAAAAAAGAGAAAAGAAAAAAAAUUAGGCCAGGCUCAGUGGCUCAUGCCUGUAAUCCUAGCACUUUGGGAGGCUGAGACAGGAGGAUCACUUGAGCCCAGGGGUUCGAGACCAGCUUGAGCAACACUGUGAGACCCUGUCUCUACAAAAAAAUUUUUUAAAAUUAGCCAGGCAUGGUGGUGUGCACCUGUAGUCCUAGAUACUCGGGAAGCUGAGGUGGGAGGGUCAUUUGAAUCUGGGAGGUCAAGGCUGCAGUGAACCAUGAUCACGCCACUGCACUCCACCCUGGGCAACAGAGUGAGAUCUCAUCUCAAAAAUUAAAAAAUUAGAAAAACUUAGAACCAUAGGGAAUGGGAGUACAGAUGUGACAACAUUGUCCAUGAGUUCAUGAAGUAUGUGAGAGUUUAUACUCUUCUCUGUUAUUUUUGUAUAUGUUUCAAAUUCUCUAUAAUGAAAAAUUUCUUUUUUUCCUAAUGAAACUCCUGGUCUAGGAGGGAAGAUAAAAUGUGAACAUGAAUAACUUCUACAUGACAGAAAGAGAUAAACUAAGAGAAGUGCAGAGGAAAUUUCAAGAAUUACUAUGCUUCCACAGAUGAACCCAAAUGCAAAGCUUAGAGCAGUGAUAACAUACUCUUUAGCCAGUCUUCAGCAUUAUUUGUACUGAAUAUUCAAAAAUGAUUUUGUGAUGACUUUAUAUCAGUGUAAAGUUCUCUUCAUAGGUAACCCUCUAAGGGAAAAAUAGAAAAGUAAGUCCUGCAAACAGGAGAUAGUCUUCUUGGGAAACUUCAGUUCUGAGCAAGAGGAUGCUAGGAUAGCAGAGACUGGACAAGAGUGUUCUCCUAGAAAUGACAUCAUAGGCUGCCAGAACAAAUUGCCUGUGAGAAUAGCAUGUGCUUAAUCAGGAGAUAGAUGCAGAGAACACCCAUAGGUGUAGGUUAGAAUCAUGCUAAAGAGCAACAGGCUGGACACGGACAGUUCAAAUCCGUGCGAAACACAACACAAAGACGAUAGCACAGCGACAACAGCAAAAUCUCCACUUCAUUUUGGCCAUGACUUUUCACCUCUUUUCUCCACCAAAAACCUUAUUUCUUUAAAUUUUCCAUGUGCAACUCAUUGAUUGAGCACCCAAGUAUCAGGCACCAUGUUGAACACUGAGGCGGUAAAGGGAGAGUGUAGUUCUGCCUCCCCAAAGAGCUCACAACGUGGCCAGGUGGAGGCACAUGCACAACUGAGAGGCUAAAAUGUGGCUACUGAAUCAUAUGGCCAGGAUGGAAAAAGAAAAAUCUUUAGGAAUAAAAAGCAAGGCACCUUUCAUUCUGUUUGAGAUGCCUGUGAGGCAGGUUCACUGUACUCUGGUUACCAAUUCCAGGGGAGAUCCUACUACAUGGAGGAUAGCAAAGAUCAUCACUAUGCCAACCAACCACCAGGAAGAGGAGUCCAGAUACUUCUGCCAAUUGCAUCUUUUUUUUUUUUUUUUUUUUUGAGAUGGGGUCUCACUGUGUUGCCCAGGCUGGAGUGCAGUGGUGCGAUCUUGGCUCACUGUAACCUCCACCUCCCAGGUUCAAGUGAUUAUCCUGCCUCAGCCUCCAGAGUAGCUGGGACUACAGGCGCACGCCACCAUGCCUGGCUAAUUUUUGUAUUUUUAGUAGAGACGGAGUUUUGCCAUGUUGGCCAGGCUGGUCUCAAACUCCUGACCUCAAGUGAUCCACCCACAUCGGCCUCCCAAAAUGCGCCUAUUGCAUCUUGGGCUGCAAUUUCUACCACUUGCAGGAGUUGAGGGAGACAGAACACUCACAGAACAAGUUAGGCAAAGCAACUUUAUUCAUCACAGAUAGGCAGCAAGGCACAACAGAAGCCUAGCAUCCAUUGCGAGCUGAUUCUGCAAGGCUCAGGAAGCUACUCAGAAUGGAUGGAGUCUUGUCUGCACAUGCCCCACAAUGCACUGUAGCUGAGGCACUCUGAAAGCACUCCACUCUGGGUUUUAUACCCUGGGGGGAAACUGGGAUCACUGGACCACAGCAUUGGAGGACAUCUUGUCCUAAGAGGAACAGAAACAGAAUCUGGCAUAUUCUGGACAGCUUUUCCUUAUCUCAGAAUGUUGUUUCCAGCACAUUCUAGCAUUAUUCUGAGAACUACAAGUGAAAAAUGGGGGAAGAGCUGGGUUAUCAAGGCCAUCCAGGCACUUAUCCUGCAAUGCCCAGGAAAGUCACCCCAGAGGAGGUUACAUUUGAGUUGGCCUCAAAGCACGGCUAGAAUUUCUAGUCCUUAUCUGGAGGAAAUAGAGUGAGGAAAAACAUACAGCUGAGUAUGCCAAAAACACAAGUUGUCCAGUGAAUGUGUGUAAACUCAGGCUGAAAUUUAGCAGGGAUGAUGAGAAAGGAGAUAUGGAUUAGGCCUGAUUAGGAAUGCCCUGAUGUGCCAUUCUAGGGAAUCUGGAGUGGGCCCGGGCUUGAAAACCAGCAGUGAUGAAUGGUAGAAUUCUGUUUGGCCAGAUCAGAUUUGAAAAUAAUUUUGAAUACCUUUGGAUAGGAAAUUCAGCUCCAAUGACUCAUAGACCUGUGGUGUAAGGCCUGAAAUUAAGAUUCAAAACUAAGUGCUGCCUUGACCAUGGAGGCUGGUAAAAUCAGGGUACAGAGGCUCAAAUGGAUUAACUGCAAGUUCUCCUCCCACUCUGCUCCUGGUGGAUAAAGUCCUCUAGCCAAGCAACCCUCCUUAUCAAAGGGACCAGGCGCAGUGCUAGGCUUCAGGUCCCCGUCAGCCUGUAGAAUUAUCCAAGCAAACCAAACACAUCCUCUUACAGGAACCAGGGGCACCUCGCCCUCUUGUUACUACAAAGCCUGCCUCCCACAGCUUCCUGGUGGUUCACUCUGUUCCCAGCUGCAACCCCCACGUGGCUCUCUGUGGGGCAGUGUCGUCCUUCCCUGGGCCAUGAGCAUAUGUGACUAAUUACCUGCUGCCCAUCUCAUCUGUCUAGGCUUGGAUGUUGUACAUUCAACCAUCCUCUCAACUCUAGGGCGGAAUCCCUCCCUCACCAGUGGGGUGAAGUGGAGGCAAACUAAAUCAAACUAAAUAAGACCCCAUCAUACCAUGUUGUAUUGCACUCUGCUUCUUUUUUUUUUUUUUUUUUUUUUUUUUUUUUGAGACAGGGUCUCACUUUGUUACCCAGGCUGGAGUGCAGUGGCACAAUCUUGGCUCAUUCCAACCUCCACCUCCUGGGUCCAAGCGAUUCUUGUGCCUCAGCCUCCCGAGUAGCUGGAACUACAGGUGCUUGCCACCACACCUGGCUAAUUUUUGUGGGUUUUUUUUUUUUUUUUUUGUAUUUUUAGUAGAGACGGGGUUUCGCCAUGUUGGCCAGGCUGGUCUUGAACUCCUGACCUCAAGUGAUCUGCCCACCUUGGCCUCCCAAUGUGCUGGGAUUACAGGCGUGAGCCACCACACCUGGCCUCAUCCUGCUUCUUUACACACUUACAUUUCCUGCAUAACUGAAAAAACUUGACCUUGUAACACCUCUUUUCAGGGGAAUGACAUAUAAAAUUAUUCAUAAUGACAGACUAUGAAAUAUUUUACCAAUAUUUUCCUUUAAGAAAGAUUAGGGAAGUAGUGUUUAGGAUAGAUUCUACAUGGAACAAAUUAGAAGUAGAAAGACCAGUCAAGAAGUAUCUGAACAGAAUGAUAGCCGAGUGGUGUGCAGUGGAUACUGUGAUAUGCUGCCCAGAAAGGACAGUGAAGGACAUCAGGCCCCAGCUGCUAGAAGUGCUGCUGCAGUCAGCCUGUAGCUCUUAGCCCUCUCAGAAAGUGACUGAGCUGCAGAGAGCUGCCUCACCCAAGGACAUGCCCUAUCUUUGUCCUUUUGGGCUGCUAUCCUACCAGAGACUAAGUAGUUCAAAAACAACAGAAAUGUAUUUCUCACAAUUCUAGAGGCUGGGAAGGCCAAAGUCAAGGCACCAGCAAAUUUGAUGCCUGGUGAGGGUUGGCUUCCUAACUGAUAGAGAAUGUCUUCUUACUGUAUCCUCAUGUGGUGGAAGGGAUAAGGGAGGGACCUCUCUGGGGUGUCUUCUAUAAGGGCACUAAUCCCAUCCCGAGGGCUCCAUCCUUGUGACCUAAUCACCUCCCAAAGGCCCCACAUCCCAAUACCAUCACCUUGGGGGUUAGCAUUUUAACAUACGAGUUUUGGAGGGACACAAAUAUUCAGACCAUAGCACACUCAUGCCUGGGGAAGCUCAUAUCGAGUGACCAAUGGAUGGUGGAGCAUAAGGGCUUGGCCAGCUCAGCCAUGCUUGGCAUGUUUCUAAAAGUCCACCUAACUCCAGAGCUCUUGGUGAGGUUUGCUGAGACUGUCAGCCUUGGGUUGUAGCUCAACGUCACUGCUCUGCCCACUCCUGCUUCUGUCCCCUACCUUCCACAGGUGUGGUCCCUCCCACAGGCACGCCUUCAUGAAAUGCCUCUUUAGAGUCUGGUUUCUGGGGAUACAACCUGUGAUGCUUAAAAAAUUAAGAGGCCGGGCACAGUGGGUCAUGCCUAUAAUCCUAGCACUUUGGGAGGCCAAAGCAGGAGGAUUGCUUGAGCUCAGUAGUUGAAGACCAGCCUGGGCAACAUAGUGAGACCAUGUCUCUACAAAAAAUUUUAAUAAAAAAGAAAGAAAAAAAAUUAGAGAUGAGAAAUGAGGGGAGGAGAGGGAAAUUGAGAAAUAAGCUUAGAUAAUUUUCACCCUAAGGGUAAAUCUCCCAAAUAAUGUUUCCCCAUCUUCUCAGAGAGCCCACAGUCUGAACGAGGAGAAAGCUGUUCAAUGAAAAAUCAAUAAGUAGUCAGGUGAAUCCUCCAGGAAUCUGCACAGAGUGGCAGUGCCACACCUUUUACAUAAACCAACCUCCUCACUCUCCCCUCCUCAGCAGCUCCCAGGCCUGAGGACGGGCAGCGUCACUUUCUCCCAAGAACGAUGGAGAAUCAUUUCUCACCAGUAAGAAUGUUGGCCUCACAUUAAAUUCGUGAUGUUUAAUGGGCUUAUUUAUGUAUUUAUUUAUUUUUGAAAUGGAGUUUCGCUCUUGUUGCCCAGGCUGGAGUACAGUGGCACGAUCUUGGCUCAUUGCAACCUCUGCCUCCUGGGUUCAAGAGAUUCUCCUGUCUUAGCCUCCGGAGUAGCUGGGAUUACAGGCACACGCCACCAUGCCAAGCUAAUUUUUUGUAUUUUUAGUAGAGAUGGGGGUUUCACCAUGUUGGCCAGGGUGGUCUCAAACUCCUGACCUCAGGUGAUCCACCCACCUCAGCCUCCCAAAGUGCUGGGAUUACAGGCGUGAGCCACCGCGCCCAGCCAGUUUAUUCAUUUAUACUUCAAUCAGGAUUAAGUACAUCAUGAGAAUAAAACAAUCCAGAUGGUUCUGAGACUGAAUCUGAGCUCCUGGGUAACACAGCAGGGUGGAUCUGGACUAGACUUCCUGCCCUGGAUCAGCAAGAUUGGUCUCAUAGGUGUGCACUGAAGGCAGCCCGAGAAGGUGUGAUUUGAUGGGCACCUAGAAGACCCAUCUAUCCCCAAAAGACAUGACUCAGUGAGGCUCUAGACCCUUUCUGCCACAGCAGCUUCAUGUGGGCUUUGUAGAUCAGCACAGCUCUUAGACCCAGCUGUGCACGGCGCCUGACUUGGGCCAUAUAUAUUAGAGAAGGGGUCAACAAACUACAGACUUUGGGCCAAAUCUAACCUCCCCAUCCAGACCUGUUUCUGUAUAGCCUAUGUAAAAAAUGUUUUUUACAUUUUAAAAAUCUUUUGUAAAUUUUUAAAUUUGUAAUUGUUGUGGGUACAUAGUAGGUGUAUAUAUUUAUGGGGUACAUGGGACGUUUUGAUACAGGCAUGCGAUGUGAAAUAAGCACAUCAUGUAACAUGGGGUAUCCAUCCCCUCAAGCAUUUAUCCUUAGUGUUACAAACAAUCCAAUUAUACUCUUUUAUUUUUACAUGUACAAUUAAGUUACGUUAUGAUUGAGUUUUUACUUUUUUGAGUCAGAGUCUCACUCUGUCGCCCAGGCUGGAGUGUAGUGGUGCGAUCUUUGCUCAUUGCAACCUCCGCCUCCUGGGUUCAAGUGAUCCUCCUGCCUCAGCCUCCCAAGUUACUGGGAUUACAGACAUGCACCACCACACCCAGCUAAUUUUGUAUUUUUAGUAGAGAUGGGGUUUUGCCAUGUUGCUCAGGCUGGUCUCCAACUCCUGAUCUCAGGUGAUCCACUCACUUCGGCUUCCCAAAAUGCUGGGAUUACAGGCGUGAGCUACUGUGCCUGAUCGAGUUUUUACAUUUUUAAAUAAUGGAAAGAACCCAAAAGAAGAAUAUUUUGCAACAUAGGAAGAUUAUCUGAAAUUCAAAUUUCAGUGUUCACAAAUGAAGUUUUCCUGGAACACAGCCAUGCUCAUUCUCUUAAAUAUCAUCUGUGGCUGUUCUCAUGCCCAACAGCAGAGUUGAAUAAUUGCCACAGAAACCACAUGGCCCUCAGAGACUAAAAGUUUACUACCUGGUACUGACCCCUGCUUUACAGCUUUGCUGCUUCAUUCUGUGGUCUGAAGACCAGCCUCACCAGCUUUACCUGGGAGGCUGUUAGAAACGCAGAAUCUUGGUCCCUGCCCUAGACCUACUGAUUCAGAUCCCAGGAAAUUUCUAUUCCCAUGAAUGUUGGAGAAAUGUCAGCUUAGAGGGUUCUGCCCCGGCCAUCCUCUGCUGCCCUUCCCCUCAGUGCAGGCAAGGUCCGCACUGAGUCACAGAUUUAACAUUAUAGUUAGUCAUAAAUGUUUUAAAAUUAUGAGUCUGCAAGGUCAAGGGCAUGCGUCCUCCUGGAAACUCUUCCCCAUCUAGGCCAUGCUCUGAGUGCCUGGGAAUUUUCUGCCUCCAGGGUCAAUGCCAGCUUCCUCUCUGGGGUCCAUUCUAGCCCAAUAGGUGGUCAAGAUGCAGCUGUUACAGGGUGGACGGAGAGUGCCUGUGCUUGAAUUUAUGGAUGGUGUGUCCUCUUGCUCAAGAAGCAAGUUCCUCAUGGCAUAAAGUGGGAAGACAAAGGGGAAGGAUGGCAGCUGGGGGUUAGCUCUUGCUGUCCCAUUACCUUCUGGCUUGGGCUAUAGAGCCCAGGAAUUCUAGCCUGCCAUGUAGUUAUGUAUAUAUAUUUGACAGUUUAUUCACUUGAUAGAUAACUUCUAAGUAUUUCAACAUAGCUUAUGGGCCUUCAUUGGUACUCUUGAAUGUGAAUAGCGUGUCUAUUGAAUAUUUCUCAACGUGUGUUCUGAGGACCCCAUGCAGCAGAAUUCACGUGGGUUGUUUGCUUAAAAUGCAAAUUCCUGGGUCCCGUUUUUGAUUAUCCUGAAUCAGAAUUUUUGAGGGUGGAGCCAAGGGAUCUGCAUUCUAACAAGUUUCCCAGUGGUUCUGGUUCACACCAGAGUUUUAGGAACUCUUGAAACUGGGGUAGGGUGGACAGGAGCUGGCUCCCAGUGGGCAGGAGCUUCAGGGGAGAAGAAAAGGAACCAGCCAGCUCAGGGGACCACAAUGGCUGCCAGCUUCAGACGCUUCCUAUUUCUCUCAUUAUCUCUCUUCCGCAUCUGGCCUGAGCCCAGCUCUGGGUGUGAGCUGUGGAGAGAGGUUUUCUGCCAGGAUUGGGCAAGGGCAUUCUCCUCUAAUACAGGGCCUUCAGAGACUGCUCUACCGAAGGAAGUGUCUGAGUCAAUGUGAAACUGGAAAGAAGAGAGAUAUGGUUUGGCUGUGACCCCACUCAAAUCUCAUUUUGAAUUAUAGCUCCUACAAUUCCCAUGUGUCGUGGGAGGGACCCGGUGGGAGGUAAUUGAAUCAUGGGGGCGGGUCAUUCCCAUGCUGUUUUUGUGAUCGUGAGUCUCACAAGAUCUGAUGGUUCUAUAAGAAGGAGCUCCCCCGCACAAGUUUUCUCUUCCCUGCCACCAUGUAGGAUGUGACGUUCCUCCUUCACCUUCCACCAUGAUUGUGAGGCCUCCCUAGCCAUGUGGAACUGUGAGUCCAUUAAACCUCCUUCCUUUAUAAAUUCCCCAGUCUUGGGUAUGUCUUUAUUAGCAGUGUGAAGAUGGACUAAUACAAAGAGGAACUAGGGGAGCUUGGAGGAACCAGAGACUCAAUCAGGGAUUCAAGUGAAGUCUCUGUUGCAAACCCUUGAGCAGGUGAGAACCCCUGGACUCUUGCAGGGGAUGUGGGAGGAGCUGUACAUACAGACAGUGCUGUCCAGCCAAUGUGGGUUCAAACCCUGCAUCUGUCACUGGCUAUGUGACCUUGAUCAAGUUCCUUAAGGUCUCCAGGUUUGUUUUCUUAUCUGUAAGAUGAGAAUCCUCUUCUGCAAACCAUGUCUGUUUAAAAUAUGUGCUUAUUUUGAAAGUGAUGUAGCAACAUUUUCUCUAGUUAAUGUUCUUUCUCCCUCAUAAUUUUAAAACAUUUAUUCAUGACUAUAAUGUUAAGUCUGUGACUUUAUUUUUGCUAAAUGUCCAUCUCAGAGAAGAAUAUGACUUUAUAUAGCGAAGUAUUUUUUAAAAAAUAGCCUUAGUAAUGCAUAUUUGCAAUAAAAAUAUUUGACAAUCCUAAUACCUUCAGGCUUGUCAUUGGAAUGAAAUGUGAUAAUUAAGUAAAACCCAUUCUUGCUACAAAGAUUUAAGUGGUGGCCACUUUUUUUCCCCCCGAGAUGGAGUCUUGCUCUGUCACCCAGACUGGAGUGCAGUGGUGUGAUCUCAGGUCACUGCAACCUCUGCCUCCCAGGUUCAAGCAAUUUUCCCUGCCUCAGCCUCCCAAGUAGUUGGGAUUACAGGCACCCGCCACCACACCCGGCUAAUUUUUAUAUUUUUAGUAGAGAUACGGUUUCACCAUGUUGACCAGGCUGUUCUUGAACUCCUGACCUCGUGAUCUGCCUGCCUCGGCCUCCCAAAGUGCUGGGAUUACAGGCAUGAGCCACUGCACCCGGCCGGUGGCCACUAUUUAUUAGGAAGCUUGUUAUCUUCUACCACUGCACCUGCUGAUGAUUGCUCUCACAGGCACUUAACCACUGGCUAAUAAAAUGAAAGUUCCUUAAACCUUACGCACAGGAAGCCACUUAGGCUGCAGUUGCAGCCCUGUGCCAGGGCAGUGCUUGGCCAGUGACCUAUAACUCCCUGAGGCUCCUUGUGAGGGAGCAACUCCUGAAGUCACAUGGCGAAGAUGCUCACAGGACAUGAUUCUUAGGAUGAUCCCACCUGUCGAGACCACAGGCUGUAACUCACUGUCACAAGUUAGUGAUGAACGCGGAACCUUAAUGAAACCGCCAGCGACAGCUGUGCCAUACUGCAAGUCACCACUAGGGGGAAGCAGAAUACAAGCAUCCGGGUAAGAACCAACGAAGCGCUGAGGAACGUGGCCCAGGAAGCCAAAUGGGGAUGGGAGGGGAGAAGGAUCCUAGGCGCACCCUCCCUGUUCACCCCACCCACCGGGCAGACCUGCACACUCCUGGUCUUGCUCUCAAACCAUCUGAUUCCUCUGUUUCUCUGUUCUCUGGUCCUGGUACAGCACAUUAUAUCUUCCGUAUGGCAAAGGCCAGUGGUUCUCUAACAUGGCUGUAUGUUUAAAUCACCUGGGGAGUUCUGUAAACGCUCUACAUCCUGGCCUUAUCUCAAUUAAAUCUGAAUCUCCAGUGUUUGGAAGCAGGGAUCAGUGCUUUUUAUAUUUAUUUAUUUACUUGCUUAUUUAUUUUUGAGACAGAGUCUCACUCUGUUGUCCAGGCUGGAGUGCAGUGGUGCGAUCUUGGCUCACUGCAACCUCAGCUCCCUGGGCUCAAGCGAUUCUCAUGCCUCAGCCUCCCAAGUAGCUGGGACUACAGGCAUGCACCACCAUGUCCAGCUAUUUUUUUUUUCUAUUUUAGUUGAUAUGGUGUUUUGCCAUGUUGGCCAGGCUGGUCUUGAACUUCUGACUCAAGUGAUCUGCCAGCCUCAGCCUCCCAAAGUGCUGGAAUUAUAGGCAUGAGCCACUGUGCCUGGCCUCCAGAGCUUUUUAAAACACAACAGGUGAUUCCAAUUUGCAGCCAAUUUUGAGAACCACUGUUUUAGGCAAAAGAUCUCAUUUCUUUUCACAUGAAAGCUGGCUUUCAUUGUUAGAGGACUCCUCCAAGAAGCCUCCCUAACGAACCACACGUUUUCCUCCUCCUCCUCCAUCUGUCCACGGGCCUGUCUGCAGCUGAUGCCAGUACUUAUCAUGGCUUAAGAUACAUAUGGGUUACCUGAGGGUGUUGCAGAUUCAGAUUCGUUCAGUCUGGGGUGAGGGGUUGAGACGCUGCCUCUCUAAGUCCCAGGUGCUGCUGGUCCACAGACCAUCCACAGUAGGGUUGGCAGGACAUCAACCUGUGUUUCCGCAUGUGCACCUUUGCAGUUGUUCUCUGUUUUGCAUUCCUUUUCUGCUUCUGUAUUAACCAUGUUUCUCCUUUCUGUAAACCUGAUGCUUUAACAUCUGCCCCGCGUGCAUCUGCAGGACACACCUUGCUCUGUGCAACCCAAUAAUAUGUCUCCCUCACUGUCCCCCUCCCCCUGGAAGGAGUCCUCCGGGUGAUAUGCUUUUCAAAUGAAAACCAACCCAGAGCUCGCAUCCCAACCAAUUCCCUUAUCUGGCUCUCACACUCCAGGCCACUAUCCCCCUGCCCUAAUCACCCAGGACCAGGUAUCUGACAAAUAGGAACAGCCUGUAUGCCCCAGAGCCUGCUGAAAUGAUUUAAACUAGCCAGUCCUGAGCUAGCUAACCCUGCCUUGCCCACUCUUUCCUGUGGAAACCAUAAUAAGGGCUCUGGCCACGUUCUCUUCUCCCUCUGCCUCUUGACCAGCCCUCGUGCUGCCCCGGGUGUCCCUGCAUGGCGUGGCGUGCCCACUUCUCUUAGAUCUGAGAGUAAGAAACUCUCUCUUCAGUGAGAGUCAUCAUCUGAUCUAUUGGCCUCACCAAAGCUGAAUAAAAUUAAAACCUAUUAGAGCAACUCCCCUGCUAGGAGGAGAGGCGUGGCUGGUUCCCAACUUGUCUGCAUCCCGCCUCUCCUCCCAGUCUUGCUUGGGUCCCUGCUAUGCUGCUCAUGGUAUGAACACAAGACCCUGUACACACACAGAAAAGAGCACAAUCAGUGACUGUUGAAUGAAUAAGUGAACAAAUGUAGGGAGAAAAAUUCUGAACUUGGAGACCUGGCUCUGCCACUAACAGCUGUGAGAGAUUGUGAAGGUGCCCCCGAGACUCAGUGACUUCAUCUGUCCUGUUAUUUCAUAGUGAGGCCACCUGAGCAAUAUGUGUUAAAGCCCCUUUUCAUCCACAUGGUAGCAUCCUCCUUUCUCUCUCCAUCUCCUACUUGUCACUGGUGUUCAGGGUUCCAGCCUUGCCCUUCACACACUGCCUGGGAGGUCCCAUCUGUUUCUGAGUCUUUGAAUCUUCACCCACAGCUGCUAUGGUCUGAAUAUCUGUGUCCCUCCAAAAUUCACACGUUGAAAUCCAAAUGCCCAAGGUGAUGGCGUUGGGAGGUGGGGCCUUCGGGAGGUGAUUAGAUCUUGAGGGUGGAGCCCCCAUUAAUGGGAUUAGUGCCCUUAUACAGAAGGCUCCGGAGAGCUGCCUCACUUCUGCCACCACGUGAGGACACAGAGAGAAGACUCACCUGUGAAUCAGAAAGCAGCCCUCACCGGACACCAAAUCCAUCAGCACCUUGACCUUGGACUUACUUCCCACCCUCCAGAACCGUGGGAAAUACAUUUCUGUUGUCUAUGAGUUACCCGAUCUAAGGCAUUUUGUUAUAGCAGCCUGAACAGACUAAGACACCAGCUCAGGCUCCCCUCUUGAGCUCCACACACGUCUAACCAAAUGCCGACAAUCCAUCUCUAUCCUGUCAACCUGCCUGUAAGUCAUAUUUGACACAUUCAAAAUCGAGUUUAUCAUGCCUUUGCGCCUCCCAAACCAGCUCCUCCCCUCAUAUGUCCUAUCACCACAAGUGCCCAGAAGGGGAGUGGCACACGGAAGGAAGCAAUCUGGGCGAUGGGGGUGGAAUUAGAUGGCAGAGAUUUGUGACAAGCAUAGAAGACCACCCAGCACGCUCAGGGGCAGCAUCAAUCAUAAGUCACAUCACAGCAGAGCCAUGGUGCUCAUCACAGCAGAGCCAUGGUGCUCAAGUCCCGACAGGGAGAGAGGGUGAGGGAGAGAGAGAGAGAGAGGGAAAGAGGGAGAGAGAGGGACAGAGAGAGACAGAGAGAGAGAGAGAGAUGCAGGGACCCUCGACCCAUGCAGGUGGGCUUGGGAUCAUGAGAGCACAUGAGGAUAGACCCCAGGCUGGCUUCACUGAGACGCCACCCAGAGAAAGGCAGCUGGAGGAUGAGGUGGGAAUGGAGCCCUUGCCACCUUCCUGGAGCUCCAAGCCAGUCACCCUCACCAGGGGCCCAGAGGCCAUUGGGGCAAACAGCACUGAAACUCUUUCAAACCCUGCUGGCCACUUCCCUCCCUUGGGGAGCAGCAGAGAAGCCCACUGGUGGCCAGUGCUCAGUCAGCACAGCUGAGGUGGGCUGGCAAAACUCCUGGCUCUCUCUGUCUCCGAGAAUUGGCUGGGGCAUCUGAUGGUGGUUGCAGAGCCUCAUCUCCCCUCUCUUGAACUUAGCGGAGAUCAGGCUCAGCAGAUCUGCCCAGGUCCCCAGGAGGCCGGGCUGGUUACAGUCUCUGGGGACCAGGUGCUCCCCUUUUGAACCAAGGUUAUUUCUCCCAACCAGGGAGCUUCCAUAAUCACAGGGAUGUCCCCUGACCCCAUCCCUACAAAUAUGUAGAGUGCAAGGGAGCAGGCAGCAGGGGGCAGGGGUGGGCUCUUAAUCCCUGGCAGGGAGCUGCUGCCGUCUGAUCCUCUGAUCCGAGUUGUGGGACAGCACUGGGUGUGUGCUCCUACUUCCUGGCUUAUAGGUUUCCUCCUCUGUGUGGCACCAGCAUGUGUGUCCUUGACUCCUUAGCAGAGAGGAGCCAAUUCACUCUGUCUGUGAAGCCAAAACACAAGAGACCUGCAAGUUUUGAACCCUCCUCUCCACCAAGAUGUGAGACGUAUACUGGCAGAUCCCUGAGAUCCCAUUAGGCUCAGGCCCUCCACCCACCGCCUCUUCUGGGCUCAAGCCUCCCUCUGGCACCUGCAGCACAGAACAGCCUCCUCCAGCCUGGCUCCACGCCUGCCCCACCCCCAUCUUCCUCCACCCUACCCCCUGGAAUGAGCUUCCCAAAAGGCAGAUCUUACCAGGUCUCUCUCCUCCUUGGAGCACUUAUCAAUCUCUACUUGCCUUUUCCAUUCUCUUCUCCCCAUCCGUUUCUACAUAUGGGUUUCCUCCCCAGUUUCACUGAGACAGGGCCAUUGCCCUUGCAGGCCUCCCUGCUGUUUCUGAAUACACAGCUUCUUCUUGGAUUUGUUCUCUUACUCUCUUCCCUGCUAGAAGCCGUGGCUAACCUGUUCUUAUCUUCCCUGACUGAGGUGGGCCUAUUUCUCCGCUCUGUGCUCAUAGCAGCCUCCUCUAACCUCCAUUUGAGACUUUGUUUUAUUGCAGGGGUCCCCAACCCCUGGGCCAUGGGCUGGUACCAGUCUGUGGCCUGUUAGGAACUAGGCCGUACAGCAGGAGGUGAGUGGCAGGCAGGUGAGUGAAGCUUCAUCUGUAUCUGCAGCUGCUCCCCAUGGCUCACAUCACCACCUGAGCUCCGCCUCCUGUCAGAUCAGCUGGGCAUUAGAUUCUCAUAGGAGCACGAACCCUAUUGCAAACUGCACAUACGAGGGAUCUGGGUUCCCUCCUCCUUAUCAGAAUCUAAUGCCUGAUGAUCUGUCACUCUUGAUGAUCUGUCACUGUCUCCCAUCACCCCCAGAUGGGACCGUCUAGUUUCAGUAAAACAAGCUCAGGGCUCCCACUGAUUCUACGUUAUGGUGAGUUGUAUAAUUAUUUCAUUAUAUAUUGCAAUGUAAUCAUAAUACAAAUAACCUGCACAAUAAAUAUAAUGCAUUUGAAUCAUCCUGAAACUACCCUGCGACCCCCGUCCGUGGAAAAACUGUCUUCCACGAAACCGGUCCCUGGUGCCAAAAAGGUUGGGGACCGCUGUUCUAUUGCAUUACAUUCUAAUACUUUAUUUUUUAUUUCUGUUUCCUUCACUGUGGGCGAGCCCCUUCAGGGCAGGGGUUUGUUCCCUCCGAAGCUUAACAGCCUGGCGGCAGAGCUGGCCUUUGAAGGUUUUCUGUGAAAUGAGUUCACCGGUGAUUCUCCAGAUGUGGUCCCUGAACCAGCAGCAUAGCAGGGCCCAGGAACCUGUGAGAAAUGCAAUUCUCAGUCCCGCCCUGACCUGCCGAGUCAGAGCUCUGGGGACGGCACCCGGUCCUCAGCCCUCGGUUCCCGUAGCCCUUCUGGGUGAUUCUCAUGCAUGCUCUCAUUAGAGGUCAGCUGAAUAAGGCACGUGAGAGCCUAAUGAAAUAUGAUGUGAAUGGGAUUUGCUAUUACUACUCAGCCUAGACUGAAGGAUCCUGGGGUGGUGAGCGGCCGAGGGCGGAGCUGUUCCCUGGCCCCCCAUCCUCAUCACUUGGCAUGCAGGCUGCCUGAGGCACCCGAGGCGCAUCUCUUCCUCAGCCCUUGUUAGACCAUGUUAUUUCUUUUUUAAUUUUAAUUUUUAGUUCUGGGGUACAUGUGCAGGAUGUGUAGGUUUGUUACACAGGUAAAUGUGUGCCAUGGUGGUUUGUUGCAUCUAUUAACCCAUCACCUAGGUCUUAAGCUCAGCAUGCAUUAGCUAUUUUUCCUAGUGCUCUCAAUUGUGUUGUUAGUAAUACACACGGAAGUUCUAGGGAGGAACCCAAUGCCCAAAGAGAGACCCUUGAUUCUCUCUCUCUCUCCUUUUUUUUUUUUUUUUUUUUGAGAUAGGUUUUCACUCUGUCACCCAGCUUGAAGUGCUGUGGUACGAUCGUAGCUCACUGCAGCCUCAAACUCCUGGGCUUAAACAAUCCUUCUACCUCAGCCUGUUGAGUAGCUGGGACCACAGGUGCAUGCCACCACACCCAACUAAUUUUUAAAUUAUUUGUACUGACAAGUCUCCCUGUGUUGCCCAGGCUGCUCUUGACCUCCUGGGCUCAAACAAUCAUCCUGCCUCAGCCUCCCAAAGUGCGGGGAUUACAGGUGUGAGCCACUGCACCAGGACAGAGAGCACCUGAUUCUAGGAGCCAUGGUUGGGACAUCCAAGUGGAACUCUGUGGUCAUAGAACCGGGUUUCUCAUCCCACACUCUCAAAUUAAAAACAUUUUGCUACGGGAAUCAGCUCCCUUUUGCCUUAGAGUUUCUGUUUUACCUGUAGUGACAAGUAUCCCACUCUAUUUUUUUUUUUUUUUUUGAGACGGAGUCUCGCUCUGUUGCCCAGGCUGGAGUGCAGUGGUGUGAUCUUGGCUCACUGCAACCUCUGCCUCCUGGGUUUAAGCAAUUCUCCUGCCUUAGCUUCCCAAGUACCUGGGAUUACAGGCACACACUACCACACCCGGCUAAUUUUGUAUUUUAAGUAGAGCCAUGUUGGACACACUGGUCUCAAACUCCUGACCUCAAGUGAUCUACCCACCUCGGCCUCCCAAAGUGCUGGAAUUACAGAUGUGAGCCACUGUGUCUGGCCUAUCGCACUAUAUUUUAAAAUUUGGUCUAAAGGAGUUGAUGAUGAGUUUCUUUUAGCCUUUUAUUUUUUGUCUGUUGGUUUUUGAAUGUAUUUGUUAUCAGUAUCUGGAGUUUGAAAAAGAAAGAACCUCAUUUUAUGAGCUCUGUAGUGGGAGGGCUGCUUGCUAUCACUGGAUUUUCUCCCAUGGCCUAGUACUACCAUAUCUGCUUCUAGAGUGUGCUCAGCAAAUAGUGGUUUUUGAUUACUCAAAGCAAAACUGAGAAGCCAUUUAACAGGCUGGGAAAUAAUUUCUUCAGCACUGAAGAAUAUAUCCAUAGGCUGGGCACAGUGGCUGACACCUGUAGUCCCAACACUUUGAGAGGCUGAGGCUGGAGGAUCGCUUGACUGCAGGAGUUCGAGACCAGCCUGGGCAAUAAAGCAGACUCUAUCUCUACCAAAAAAAAAAAAAAAAAAAAAAAUAGCUGAGUGUGGUGGCAUGCGCCUUGUAGUCCCAGCUACUUGGGAGGCUGAGGCGGGAAGACUGAGGCUGCAGUGAGCCAUGAUGAUUGAGCCCCAGAGGCUGAGGCUGCAGUGAGCUGUGAUGGCGCCCCUGCACUCCAGGCUGGUGACAAGAGUGAGACUCUGUCUCUGUUUAAAAGAGAAAAAAAAGGUUAGGUGCAGUGGCUCAUGCCUGUAAUCCCAACACUUUGGGAGGCCAAUGAGGGUGGAUCACCUGAUGUCAGGAGUUCGAGGCCAGCCUGGCCAACAUGGUGAAACCCUGUCUUUACUAAAAAUACAAAAUUAGCCAGGUGUGGUGGUGAGCGACUGUAAUCCCAGCUAUUUAGGAGGCUGAGGCAGGAGAAUCACUUGAACCCUGGAGGUGGAGGUUGCAGUGAGCGAAGAUCACACCACUGCCCUCCAGCCUGGGCGACAGAGCAAGACUCCAUCUCAAAAAAAAAAAAAAAAAUAUAUAUAUAUAUGUGUGUGUGUGUGUGUGUGUGUAUAUGUGUGUGUGUAUAUAUACAUGUGUGUGUAUGUUAUAUAUAUACACACACACACACAUAUAUAUCCAUAAGUCAGAGCUGAAGUUCUGGUGAGCACUUCUUGGAGUUCUGUGACAAGCCCCUCCACUGGUGGUCUAACUCCUGCCUUCCUCGCUUGAGUCAUCUCGAGACAGUCACUCCAACAUGCCUUACUCUUUCAGUUCCUUGAAUUCCCUGAACUCCCGUUGUUCUGGACCUUUGGAUCUGUCUUUCCCCUGCCUGGAAAUUCUCCUCCCCUUUUCCUUCAGGUCACAGUGAAAUCAUUUGGCUCAGAGUGGCUUCUAAUCCUCUGUGAGGCUAGGACUUUACCCUUUUCCGUGCUCAUGCUCUCGGGCUUUCCUGUAACCUCUCCUUUCUCGUCUCCUUUCCCCCUCUAGCCUGGAAGAGCAGGAACUGUGUCUCCUUCACUUUCCCCAGCACCUAUCUCAGAGCCGGGCCCGCAGUAGGGGCUCAUGCAUUUGUUGGCUGGCGUUAACGUGAACCAGCACGUCGGCUGUGGAUGAAUAACUUUCCAGGUCCCAAAAUUGUCCACUUGCUUCUCUUUCACCGUUGGGCUGAGAACGUAGCUACUAAUAAACCCGGAGUGGGAGGGGGUAUCAGUAACAGAGACAAGUGUGUGAUUGAAAUGGAAGACAGCUGGAGAGAAGAGAACAGAAAUAGGCAGGACGUGCACGGCCAGCAGGAAGUUGCUGUGAUUCCCGCAAAGCAUGUCUUUUCAUUCGUGAAGAGGGGUCCCUAAGAUGAGAGUUCCAUGGAGACUUUCCCUAAGGGCUCACUAUGCCUUAUUCUCUGAUAUGUUGAGCCUUCGGGGGUUGGCUGUAAAUAGAGACUGAACUUUGACUUAGAAGAAAAAGGGGAGAGAAGAACAUGUUGUAUCUCUUUGUGUAAAUGGUUACUACUCGCUCCCCAAACAAGCUACUUUAAUAGGGGCAUCACACAAAUUAUAGAAUACAGGUCUCUCAUCCAGCCAGCCAUGAUGGUGCGCACCUAUGGUUCCAGCUGCUUGGAAGGCUGAGGUGGGAGGUCCUUUGAGCCCAGGAGUUCAAGGUUCAAGUCCAGCCUAGUUAACAUAGCAAGACUCUCUAAAACAAAACAACAAAACAAAAACAAUCUAAUCUUAGGAUUAGAAAGGACAAGGACACCAGAUGUCAUCAAGUCCCAUCCUUUGACCUCUGUAGGAAUUCCCUGUGCAUAUUUCUGGUAAGAAUUCACUAAUCCACUAGUUGUCAGUUCUCCACUUCACUAACUUAUGGGGCAGCCUAGUUCCAUAUUUGCAGGGUUCUAGUUGUUGAAAAAGUCCAUGUAGCCCAGUACAUUGUAUGUAGUGGUGGUUUAUUGAAUGAGAUACAUGAACACAGACAACAUUUAUAAUCGAGACUUUAGAAAUUAUUUUCAAGUACUGUUGUAUUGUUUUAAAAAUAGAAUACGGUGAGAAGAUUGUCUUAAAUGUUUGACAUAGUGUCUCCAGCUUUCAGAUCAUACCAGAUACAUAUUCAAUUUAUCACCUGGGCAAGUAAAAAAUUAAAAAGACAAUAAAGCCUGUCUUGUUAUAUACUUAGAGCCAAUUACUCAAUAUUUACCAAAUAGCCCACCAAAUGUCUCAUAAGCAUUUUUUGAGUGUGUUCAGUCUUGAGAUUGAACUUUCAGAACGGGCCUCCCUUGCUCAUCCUGGGCUCAUGAUGAUCCGCUUCAGCAUUUACACAAGGAGAGCAAGGGAACAGCACAGAUCAAUGGAAAGGAGACAGCAGAUUAUUUUCCAGUUCUAUCCCUGCUACUAACUAGUGGUGAGAUCUUAGGUAAGUUGCUAGACACUGCUGGAUCUUAGUUUCCUCCUCUGUAGACUACGGUGAUUAAACCAGGUGGCCUUCAAGGUUCAGUACCACUGUAACCCUCUGUGGCUCUAAAACUUUACAUUUUCCUCCUAAAGACAAAAGCUUCAUGAGUGAAUUUAACUCUCAUCCCAUUGAAUAACUGAUCAGUAGCAACAAUGUGCUCCUACUAAAUAUAGAAGGUGAAGUUAAAUAUGGAAUAUAGCUGUCCACAUCCCCUGAAUUCGCAGAAACUUAGGUUAAUAGUUGGCUACAUCACUCAGAUCAUAAUCUCUCCAUGGCACAUCAUUUCUGCCUUCAUAGUUGGCUAAAAUACCUGGAUGUCAGCUGAAUCUAGACUUUUUUAAUGAUUCUAUUUUUAAACUACAGUCAUGAGACCACAUAAUCCUAGUGGGGUAAAUGCCAGAGGAAGAAAAAAAAAAAAAAGAAACAGAAAACAAAACCAAAAAACUGUAAAGAAAUCUGAAGUGGUUUUCCAUAAUUCUCUUUUUAGAAUAAUUUUUUCUCUGAUAUGAUAUUUUCUGAUAGUAAGGUAUGAUUAUUAUGAAAUCAUAAUGUAUUUAGUAGAAAAAUAAAUUACAUUAUUUCAUUAGGAGCUAAGGUUUUCAGUGCAAGAAAAAUAUAAAUAUCAAAUCAAAGAAGUUAAAUAAAAACCUUCUAUCCUAAGUUUGAAUUGGAAAUAUUAAUAAGAACACAUGAUGUGUUUUAUGGUAAAAUACACUAUUCUUAGCUCUGUCUGUUGAAAAGGCCUAGAUACCUUGACUAAGAGUAGCUAAGUGUGUCCUUAGCACCCAGGCCGUUUUCUUUCUUCAUUUUUUUUUUUGAGACAGGGUCUCACUCUGUCACCCAGGGUGGAGUGCAGUGGCGUGAUCUUGGCUCACUGAAACCUCCACCUCUGGGGUUCAAAUGAUCCUCCCACCUCAACCUCCCAAGUAGCUGGGAUUACAAGUGUAUGCCACCAUACCUGGCUAAUUUUUGUAUUUUUAGUAGAGAUGGGGUUUCACCAUGUUAGCCAGGCUGGCCUCAAACUCGUGACCUCAAGCAAUCUGCCCACCUCAGCCUCCCAAAGUGUUGGGAUUAAAGGCAUGAGCCACAUAUCUGGCCUGGCCUAAUGCACUCUAAAUACCAUUUCUGGUUAAAGUGAACAGGGUUCUUUGGAGAAAUGGUCGAUUCAACAUCAGGGAUAAGUUUGGAACAUCUUGUCAUAUCAGCCAGCAAAGAAACUGUCAAAGACGGUAAAAGCAUGCCAAAAAGACUUAGGAACCAGAGCCUAUUGGCCAGAGGUAAGACAAUUACCAAAACAAACAAACAAACAAACAAACAAACAAAAACAGGAAGAAUCCAGAAUCUAAUCAGGACCUAACUACUAACUACAAACUUAUAGGAAAUACACUCUAGGAUAGUAAAUUUUGUGUGUCAACUUGACUGGGCCAUGGUGUGCCCAGAUAUUUGGUCAGACAUUAUUCUGGAUGUUUCUGUGAGGGCGUUUUUAGAUGAGAUUAAUAUUUAAAUUGGUAGACUAAGUAAAGCAGAUUCCUCCCUUUUUGGAUCAUUGUAGACCUCAUCCUACAGUUGAAGGCCUGAAUAGAACAAAAAGGUUGACCCACCCUAACUAAGAGAGAAUUCUUCCCAUCUGACAGCCUUCCAGAGGGAGCAUCAACGUUUUUCCUGUCUUUGAACCAGAACUGAAACAUCAGCUCUUCCUGAGUUUUGAGCCUGCUGGCCUGUGGACUGAACCACACCAUCAGCUCUGCUGUUUCUCAGUUUUUCAGAUUACACUCUCUUGGGGCUCCAGGUGGUUGGCUGCAGAUCUUGGGACCUGUUUGCCUCCAUAAUUAUGUGACCCAAUUCUUUGUAAUAAAUCCUUCUUUCUCUCUCUUUCUUCUAUUGAUUCUGUUUCUCUGGAGAAACUUGGCUAAGCCACACCUCCACAGGGAUAAAAUCAACAAAAAGCAGAGUAUAGGACAUUUUAUAGGCCAACAGAAAGUAUUACUCAUCAACAAAUAAAUUGCCCCCCCCAAAAAAAACAAUAGAGGGAGGGGUAAUUUAUAGAUUAAAAGAUAUUUAAAAGGCAUAUUCACCAAAUGCAAUGGAAGAGCCUUAGUUUGGAUUCCUAUUUGAACAAACCAAGUUUUAAAAAAAGUAUGAGACUAUCAGGGAUAUUUGGAACAUUUCCUGGAUACUUGAUGAUGUUAUGGAAAUAUUGUUGAUUUUUUUUGGAUGCAAUGACAUUUACAGGGCUAUGCUUUUAAAAGUCCUUAAAUUUUAGAGAUAUAUACUGGAAUAUUUAUGAAUAAAAUAAUUUCAGUAUCUGGAAUCUGCUUCAAAAUAAUUCAUCAAGAGUAGGAGUAUGGGUUAAAAGUAGAGGGGGUGGCUGGGCGCGGUGGCUCACACCUGUAAUCCCAGCACUUUGGGAGGCUGAGGUGGGCAGAUCAUGAAGUCAGGAGAUCAAAACCAUCCUGGCUAACAUGGUGAAACCCCAUCUCUGCUAAAAAUACAAAAAAAAAAAACGGGCAUGGUGGCAGGCGCCUGUAGUCCUAGCUACUCGGGAGGCUGAGGCAGGAGAAUGGCAUGAACCAAGGAGAUGGAGCUUGCAGUGAGCCGAGAUCAUGCCACUGCACUCCAGCCUGGGAGACAGAGCGAGACUCUGUCUCAAAAAAAAAAAAAAAAAAGUAGAGGGGGUAUAGAGGAAACAAAACUGGUCAUGUGUUGAUAAUUGUUGAAGAAUACAAGAUCAGAAUAUGGGGGAUUAUUAUACUAUUUUCUCUACUUUUGUACAUUAUUUCUAUACUAAAAUUUUUACAAGUAAAUGCUUUAUUUUUUUUGCCUACCUUGACGUUAAACUUAUAUUUUUAAGGCAUCAAUGACAAGUUAUUCCUUUCUUGUCUAUUACAGAUAUAUUUCCACUUGCCUCCUAAGCUGUAUGAUUUUUUUUUCAUUUGCUUCCUAAACUAUAUGAUUUCAGUUCUCCUUUAUCUCAUGAGGAGGGUUCCCAUUUACUUUGUCAUAUAUAUUUACAUGUAGUGAUUUGUUAAAUUAUUAUUUCAAAAUUAUUACUGAAAUGCACAUUCUCUGGUUCAAGCUCCAAUGGGUUCUCACUGCCUUGUUAUAAAGCCAGGCAGCCUCACUUUAACAGUCAAAGCCUAUCAUCAUCAAGCUCUACCCAACACAUCAGACAAGCGCUUCCAAAAAAUAGAAGAGAGGAAACACUUCUCAAUCCAUUUUAUGAGACCAAUAUUACCCCAACACCAAAAGCAGACAACAACAUCAAAAAAAAGAAAGAAAAAGAAAACUACAGACUAAUAUCCACAUUUUAGUGAAUAGUAAAAUCCUCAAUAAAGUAAUAGCAAACCGAAUCCAGACACAUAUAAAAAGAAUUUUACACUUGAAAAUGGUUCAAAUGGCAAAUUUUAUGUUAUAUAUAUUUUACCACUAUUUUUAAUAGUAAAGUAAAUAAAUAGUGGUAAAAUAUAUAUAACAUAAAAAUAUUUUUAAAAUAGUAAAAUAAAUAAAUAAACAUAAACAUACACCAUGACUAAAUGGGAUUUAUCUCAGGGAUUCCAGGUUGGUUUAAUAUUAGAAAAUCAAUUAAUGGAAUACAUUAUAUUGAUAGAAUAAACAGAAAAUCACACAAUCAUCUCAGUAGACACAGAAAAUACAUUUGACAAAAUCCAAGUUCAUUAACUCCCAGAUAAACAGCACCUAUUCUAGAGGAUCUCUAAACAUAAUGAGAUGACAGUAGCGAAGAAAGACUCUGAGUAUCGAAGGUGAAUGGAUCUCAGAGAUUGCCACAGGAAAAGAUAUCUUUUUGAAUCUAGUGGAGAAAAUCUUUGUAAAUCUACUUUUAUCAUAAACAAUGCCAGCAUGAAUGACUUAUCCAAGAUCUAAGAGGAGUGUAGAAUGAAAACUCUUAAAUGAUAGGAAGUGUGUGUAUUUCUCCUUUGCCGCUGGCAUGGUUAUUCACCUGCCAGGUGGCCAGUGAGUAUUUUUGUAGUGAAUGGCUUGGAGUUUUAGGGCAAGUACUCUAGACUUAAACUUAACUUUCCUGGCUGUGUGAUUGUAAGCAAAUUACUUAACCUUAAAGUCUCAGCAUUUUGCUUAUUGUUUCAUCUCUAAAGUUAAGAUAAUAAUUCUACUACCAUAAGUGAGGGUUUUAAAACACAGUAUCAGCGGGGCAUGGUACACCUGUGAUAUGGUUUGGCUCUGUGUCCCCACCCAAAUCUCAAGUUGAAUUGUACUGCCAUAAUUCCCACGUGUUGUGGGAGGGACCCAGUGGGAGAUAAUUGAAUCAUGGGGGCGGUUUUCCCCAUACUGUUUUAAUGGUUGUGAAUAGGUCUCACAAGAUCUGAUGGUUUAAUAAGGGGCUUCUACUUUCGCUUCUGCCUCAUUCUCUCUUUCUGCCACCAAAAGGCAAAAGUGUCUUUUGCCUUCUGCCAUGAUUGUGAGGCCUCCCCAGUCACGUAGAACUGUGAGUCCAUUAAAUUUAUUUUCUUCCCAGUCUCAGGUAUGCCUUUAUCAGCAGUGUGAAAAUGGACUAAUACAACCUGUUACCCUAGCACUUUGGGAGGCCAAGGUAGGCGGAUGACUUGAGGUCAGGAGUUUGAGACCAGCCUGGGCAACAUGGUGAAACAUCAUCUCUACAAAAAAUACAAAAAUUAGCCAUGUGCUGCACACCUGUAAUUCCAGCUACUUGGGAGGCUGAGGCGGGAGGAUCACUUGAGCCUGGGAGGCAGAGGUUGCACUGAGCCAAGAUCACGCCACUGCACUCUAGCCUGGGUGACAGAGUGAGGCCCUGUCUCAAAAAAAAAAGCAAAAACACAGUAUCUUUGAAAUGUGCAGCACUGCAGCAUGGCGUCUGGGACAUGUACACCCUUGUCAUCAUGAACAACAUCCAAGACCAUAAAAAUCACGGGUCUCCAGCCAUCCCAUUACUGGGUAUACACCAAAGGAAUAUCAAUCAUGCUGCUAUAAAGACACAUGCACAUGUAUGUUUAUUGCGGCACUACUCACAAUAGCAAAGACUUGGAACCAACCCAAAUGUCCAACAAUCAUAGACUGGAUUAAGAAAGUGUGGCACAUAUACACCAUGGAAUACUAUGCAGCUAUAAAAAAUGAUGAGUUCAUGUCCUUUUUAGGGACAUGGAUGAAGCUGGAAACCAUCAUUCUCAGCAAACUAUCGCAAGGACAAAAAACCAAACACCGCAUGUUCUCACUCAUAGGUGGGAAUUGAACAAUGAGAACACUUGGACAAGGAAGGGGAGCAUCACACACCGGGGCCUGUUGUGGGGUGGGGGAAGGCGGGAGGGAUAGCAUUAGGAGAUAAACCUAAUGUAAAUGACGAGUUAAUGGGUGCAGCACACCAGCAUGGCACAUGUAUACAUAUGUAACAAACCUGCACGUUGUGCACAUGUACCCUAGAACUUAAAAUAUAAUAAAUAUAUAUAUAUAUAUUUAAAAAAAAUCAUGGGUCUGUCUUGGGACUAUUAGGCUUGCCAGUUGUAUACAUAAAUGUUAGAUUAGACAGCUUCAUAAUACCAAGUUAAAAAUGACUAAUGUCCUUGUGUAAUGAAUAAACUUGCUCCAAUAACCUUGAAAAUGAAAGAAAAGUUUGAUCACAGAGUGAAAUUUAAUUCAGACAAUUUCAGCAGCUGUGUAUUUCAGAUAAACCCAUAAAUGGCACAAAGAAAUGAUAGCCCUAGCUGAGUUGUCCAAAAAAGAGGGUUUGGACAACUCUUUUUGUCCAAAGACAAAAAGAGGCAAGUCCUUAGCCUGUGUAUUGGGUCACUGCCAAGAGAUGAUGUUGUCCAUGUGGAGGCAGAGAGUGAACUUCCUUCAGUUCUGACUGACUGCUGUAAAUAGUGUCACAUGGCUAAACCUGUGUAAGUAGUUUCAAAACCUGCUUUAAAGUAUAGUUAAGGCCAGGCUCAGUGGCUCAUGCCUGUAAUUCCAGCACUUUGGGAGCCUGAAGUGGGAGUAUUGCUUGAUUCCAGGAGUUCAAGACCAGCCUGAGCAGCAUGGCGAAAACCCAUCUCUACAAAAAAUACAAAAAUUAGCCAGAUGUGGUGGCACAUGCCUGUAGACCCAGCCACUCAAAAGGCUCAGGUGGGAGGAUCACCUGAGCCCAGGAGGCCCAGGCUACAGUGAGCCAUGAUCAUGCUACUUAACUCCAGUCUGGGUAAAGGAGGGAGACUCUGUCUCAAAAAAAAAAAAAAAAAAAAGGCAAAUAUAUAUAUAUAUAUAUAUAUAUAUAUAUAUAUAUAUAUUAAGCAUUUGCACUUUUGACUCAACUAUAUGUAUAUAUACAGAAAUAUAUAUACAUACAUAUAUAUGUGUAUAGAUAGAUAGAUGAUAGAUAGGUAGAUAGUUAGAUAUUGAUAGUUAAGAGUCAAACUCAAAUGCUCUUAUGGGCAAAACAAUGGAGAGAAAACCUUAAGGAUAUUAUUAUAGAGAGAUGUGGGUCCCUGGUUAGAGGGCUUGCCCUGUCGACAAGGAUUUACAUGAGAAACAUUUCAGAAGCACCAACAUAGCAAACACAAAGGCUCUGAAGGCCUCAGUCCUUGGCAAGCAGCUUACAGCCACUGAUUAGGGGAACAAGGCAUAAAUUAGGCAUUACUCUUUUGUAUCCCUGAGCCCGUAGAUUGUUUUUCUUCUUCCAAUCAGAUAAGAACCUUGCAGAAACUGGACUGUUAGUAGUGGAAUUAUAGCAUCACAGUAUCUUUUGAGUCGUUUAUAUUUUCCCCAUUUCUGGUUGCUUCCAGUUCCCUUUAUAAAUUCUUCCUUUCCUUUUUUCUACCUAAAACUCAGCUGUUAUUUAGAAUGAGGUGGAACUUGGCUACCAUUUCUGUUUUUUGUCUUCUUCUCCAAAUACUUAAUGCCUCAAACAGGUUUGUGUGUUCUGGCCUAAAAACUAACUCCUCUGCCAAGUGGUCCCCAGGCCCUGACUCCUUUUUCCUCACUUCCAGCAUCUGAGAGACUCCCAACCACCCUUGUAAAGGGAACCGUGUGAUAGGGCUGUGCCCACCCUAGGUCCUGCCCACAUGUUUAUUCUGGGCCUCUUGGCUUCCUUUGAUACCCAAGUCUUUGUCCUUAUGAAAGUUAUUUACUUCUGAAAAAUGUUUACAGAAUGAUGACAUGAAGUCAAUAUUGGUUUUAAUAAAUUUAAAUAACUUUCCUUACAGGCAGAAUGAACAAAAUAAGUAAAAGUGGCUAUAAAGAUUAUAAUCUGAAUGUGAUUUAGCAAUGUAGUAUUGAAAGGCAAUGUUUAAAAAGGUAAAAUCAUAAUUCAUACAAAUACAAAUGACCAUCGUUAACUCAUGAGUUAUUUAUUAUUAAUUAUGAUUAAUUAAUGCAGGACUCAGUGAGGUAUUACAGCUGGAUUUUACAGGCUUUACCCAACAAAAUUCUUCAAUAGGGUUUAAGUACUACUGCAUGUAAAGUGUUUAUUUUUAUUUUUGAGACAGGGUCUCACUCUGCCACCCAGGCUGGAGUGCAAUGGCACUGUCAUAACUCACUGCAGCUUUCACCUCCUGGGCUCAAGUGAUCUUCCCACCUCAGCCUCCUGAGGAGCUGGAACUACAGAUGGCACCAUUGUGCUUGGCUAAUUUUUUUUUUUUACUUUUUGUAGACAUGGGGUCUUGCUAUGUUGCCCAGGUUGGUCUUGAACUCCUAGCCUCAAGUGAUCUUCCUGCAUUGGCCUCCCAAAGUAUUAGGAUUACAGGCAUGAGCCACUGUGCAUGAUCAAGUGUUUCAUUAAGAACAAGUUCUGCUGUUCUGUGUCUCACAGAAGUGCACAGGUAAAGCAUUUGCACUUGUGGGAUCAAGUGGUAGCUUUGAUUUAUAAAGCAGAACUGUCAUCAGGAAUUUGGUUGAGGAAGCUGAAGUUGUUUUAUCUCAAAGUUGUUUUCCUGGAAUAAUUCAGUUCUCCAAGGGAACUCUGGGAUUCACAAAUCAUGACGAGGUCAGGAAAACAGUCAUGCUAAUGAAAAUGGGGUCUGGUAUAGGACAGGGGAAAGACCAAUAACUUCUUUCUCUAAAGUAGGAUGCUGGAGACACCACCAUAGAACAAAAAAAGUCAAAUAACUUGAGGACAGGAGUGAACAGGAAUCAAAGGCAAAGGAAAAAGGUAAAGUGACUUUUAGCAUAAAUAAAGGCCUCAAGAAGUAUCUGUUCUUUCCUCUCCUGAAUGACUCCAUUAUGAGGGAUAGAAAUCAAAGAGCAAUAGAAUGGGGUGGAGUAGAAGUACUAGAGUGUUCUAGCUGAGCUCCACUCAAGGUCACACUAUUAUUUAAGAACACAGAAUGCAAGGCUGGGCAUGGUGGCUCACAUCUGUAAUCCCAGCACUUUAGGAGGCUGAGGUGGGAGGAUUGCUUUGGAGUUUGAGACCGGCCUGGGCAACAUAGGGAGACUGUGUCUCUAAAAAAUAAUUUUUUCUUCUUUUGAGACAGAGUCUCGCUGUGUCACCCAGGCUGGAGUGCAGUGAGCUGAUCUCGGCUCACUGCAACCUCCACCUCCCUGAUUCAAGCAAUUCCCCUGCCUCAGCCUCUGGAGUAGCUGGGAUUACAGGUGUGCACCACCCACAUCCAGCUAACUUUUUUGUAUUUUUAGUAGAGAUGGGGUUUCACCAUGUUGGCCAGACUGGUUUUGAACCCCUGACCUCAGGCAAUCCGCCGGCCUCAGCCUCCCAAAAUGCUGAGAUUACAGGUGUGAGCCACCGCACCCAGCUAAAAAUUAAAAUUUUAGCUGAGUGCGGUGGUAUGUGCCUGUAAUCACAGCUACUCCAGAGGAGAGAGGCUCAGGUGGGAGGAUUGCUUGAACCCAGGAGGUUGAGGCUGCAGUGAGCCAUUGAUAUGGUUUGGCUGUGUCCUCACCCAAUAUCUCAUCUUGAAUUGUAAUCCCCAUAAUCCUCGUAAAAUCUUCACAUGUCACGGCAAAGAUCAGGUAGAGAUAAUUGAAUCAUGGGGGUGGUUUUCCCCACGCUGUUCUUGUGGCAUUGAGUGAGUUUUCAUGAGAUCUAAUGGUUUUAUAAGGGGCUCUUUCCUUUUUGCCAUGUGAAGAAGGUGGCUUUUUCGCCUUCUACCAUGAUUGUAAGUUUGCUGAGGCCUUCCCAGCCACAGGAACCAUGAGUCAAUUAAACAUCUUCCCUUUAUAAAUUACCCAGUCUCAGGUAUUUCCUUAUAGCAAUGUGAGAAUGGACUAAUACAGUCAAUUGGUACCACAGAGAGUAUGUUGCUGCUAUAAAGAUACCUGUAAAUGUGGAAGCAACUUUGGAACUGGGUAACAGGCAGAGGUUGGAAGAGUUUGGAAGGUUCAAAAGAAGACAGGAAGAUGUGGAAAAGUUUGAAAGUUUCUAGAGACUUGUUGAAUGACUUUGACCAAAAUACUGAUAGUGAUAUUGACAAUGAAGUCCAGGCUGAGGUGGUCUCAGAUGGAGAUGAGGAUCUUUUUGGGAACUGGAAUAAAGGUGACUCUUGCUGUGCUUUAGCAAAGAGACUGGAAGCACUUUGCCCCUGCCCUAGAGAUCUGUGGAAAUUUGAACUUGAGAGAGAUGAUUUAGGGUAUCUGGCAGAAGAAAUUUCUAAGAAGCAAAGUGUUCAAGAGGUAACUUGGGUGCUCUUGAAAGCAUUCAGUUGUAUGCAUUCACAAAGAGAUGAUUUGGAAUUGUAACUUAUAUUUAAAUGGGAAGCAGAGCAUAAAGUUUAGAAAAUUUGCAGCCUGACAAUGCAAUAUAAAAGAAAACCCCAUUUUCUGGGGAGAAAUUCAAGCAGGCUGGAAAAAUUUGCAUAAGUAAUGAGGAACCAAAUGUUAGUCACCAAGACAAUGGAGAAGAUGUCUCCAGGGCAUGUCAGAGGUCUUCAUGGCUGCCCCUUCCAUCACAGGCCUGGAGGCCUAGGAGGAAAAACUGGUUUCAUGGGCCAGAUCCAGGGUCUUGCUACUUUGUCCAGUCUCAGGACUUGGUGCCCUGCAUCCUAGCCAUGGCUAAAAUGGGCCAAUGUACAGCGCAGACCAUUGUUUCAGAGGGUGCAAGUCCCAAGCCUUGGCAGUUUACACAUUGUGUUGGGCCUUCAGGUGCACAGAAGUUAAUAAUUGAGGUUUGAGAACCUCUGCCUAGAUUUCAGAGGAUGUAUGGAAAUGCCCAGAUGUCCAGGAAGAAGUUUGUGGCAGGGGUGGAGCCCUCAUGGAGAACCUCUGGUAGGGUAGUGUGGAAGGGAAAGGUGGGGUCAGAGCCCCCACACAGAGUCCCUACUAGGGCAUAGCCUAGUGGAGCUGUGAGAAGAGGGCCACUGUCCUCCAGACCCCAUAAUGGUAGAUCUACUGACGGCUUACACCAUGCACCUGGAAAAGUUGCAGACACUCAACGCCAGCCUGUGAAAGCAGCCAGGAGUGGGGUUGUACCCUGCAAUGCCACAGGAACAGAGCUGUCCAAGGCCAUGGGAGACCACCUCUUGCAUCAGUGUGACCUGGAUGUAGGACAUGGCGUCAAAGGAGAUAUUUUGGAGCUCUAAGAUUUAAUGACUGCCCCACUGAAUUUGGACUUGCAUGGGGUCUGUAGCCCCUUUGUUUUGGCCAAUUUCUCCCAUUUGUAACAGGUGUAUUUACCCAGUGCUGUACUCCCAUUGCAUCUCAGAAGUAACUAACUUGCUUUUGAUUUUACAGGCUCAUAGGUGGAAGGUACUUGACUUGUUUCAGAUGAGACUUUGGAUUUGGACUUUUGGGUUAAUACUGGAAUGAGUUAAGAAUUUGGGGGACAAUUGGAAAGGCAUGAUUAUGUUUUGAAAUGUGAGGACAUGAGAUUUGGGAGGGGCUGGGGCAGAAUGAUGUGGUUUGGCUGUGUCCCCACCCAAAAUCUCAUCUUGAAUUGUGAUCCCCAUAAUCCCCAUAAUCCCUGUGUGUCAAGGGAGAGACCAGGUGGAGGUAAUUGAAUCAUGGGAGCAGUUUCCCCCAUGCUCUUCUGGUAAUAGUGAGUUUUCACAAGAUCUGAUAGUUUUAUAAGAGGUUCUUCCCCCUUCACUCAUCACUUCUCCUUCCUGCUGCCUGUGAAGAAGGUGGCUUGCUUCCCCUUCACCUUCCACCAUGACUGUAAGUUUCCUGAGGCCUUUCCAGCCAUGCAGAAGCAUGAGUUGAUUAAACCUCUUUCCUUUAUAAAUUACCCAGUCUCAAGUAUUUCCUUAUAGCAAUGUGAAAAUGAACUAAUACAGCCAUGAUCACCACUGCACUCCAGCCUGGGUCACAGAGCAACACUUUGUCUCAAAAAACAAAACAACAAGAACAACAAAAACACGGAGGCUAUUUCUCUACCUCUUGACUCUGUGUUUGGCCAUAUGACUUGCUUUGACCAAUGGGAUGUCAUAGACAUGAUACAAUCAGAGGUCUACACAACCACUCAUGUAAUUGAGCUUGUUUUGCUGUGUUUUUGCCAUGAAAAGUAUAUGCUCAGGCAAGCCUACUGUUCUAGGAGGUAGACAGGUAGAGCAGAACCAAGUCACCCCAGCCAACCUCAUCUAAGGUCAGCCAACCCCCAUUAGACCCCAGGUGCAUAAGUUGAGUCCAGUUGAGAUCAGCAAAGUCCAGCCUAGAUUAGCUGAACUUCACAGGUACAAGAAAUGAAUGUUCAUUAUUGUUGUUGACCAUGAGGAUCUGUGGUUGUUGGUUACAUAGCAAUUUUCUGACAAUAGCUAACUCACAGGUUGACUUAUUUUCAACAUACCCUAAUGAGAUGACAGAGAUUGCUGCAGAUAUGCCCAGUGCAGUUUUGGCUUCCUAGAGGGUCUUCAAGAGAGUACACCCUAGAAAAAGGGCAGAAACCAUCACUAUAUACCCAGGCUGCCUCUUCUGUUUGGAAGAGAUUCUUAUUUGAAAACCAUUCAUAUGCCAGGCUAGUGGCAUCCCCAGCGAAACUGAGGGUCAGAAAAUAAUAUCUGAUAACUGGGAAGAACUAAGGUCAUUUCUAGUUGCAGAGUAUCUGAAACUCGAGUAGGAAACUAGAGAAUGGAACAAAUAGUGGUAGCAACAGGGAAUCCCCCUACAUCAGUAUGUGAUUCACCAAGUACAAGGUCAAACAGAUAACCACAACUGCUCUGUCAGUUCCCAAGACUGCACAGAACACAGAGCCCCAGCACCUUGCUUUGGUCCUCCCUGAGUUUCUACACACCUGGCUUCUCAACGAAAGAGGAUCCAUUUGCAUACGAAACAAACUCUGCAAUGUAGAAGAUGGCUGUUUGAUCUGAAGCAGAUUUUGUAAGCUUGUGCAAUGAAGCAAAGCACCCAGUCUUCCAGGGGCAGGAGUGAAGACUGCAUUCCACGAUCCCUCUGCUUCCCUGAGAGGAGCAGGGUCCUGUGCAGAUUCAUUCUUCUUUCUCCAGCCUCCUCAGCCCUAUGUCCUUCACACUUCAGCAGUGGUCUCUGGAGCCUGGGCAAAAUUAACCCUGUAUUGACCAGAACCCUCACCAAUGUUGCAACUCCUAGGUCUCCAUGGUGAAGAAAUUUGGGUUCAGCACACCUACAGCCUGCCUCGGUGGCCAGACAGCCCUAGUCUCCUUCUUGAAGGUUGAUUUUGCUAUUUGUGUAUCAGAAGUGGAUUUGUCAUGAAGAGUAAGAAGCUUAAGCUUCAAAGUCCCUCAUUUGUACACAUCUGGGGAUCCCUGAAAGUAGUUGGGAGUCAUAGAAUGUUCUAGGUGGAGAAAGAAAAGUAAGUUGCAGUCAGUCAGCAUUUCUAAGUAAGCACAUCUGGUAAGUUACAUAAAGAGAACUCAUAAGAAAGGGACCUGAAUUUCCAAGCUCCUAGUAUUUUGUACUUUCUUUUCUCAUUUUAAAUGAAUAUUCAUUUUCACAUCUAAUUUUGAAUUUAUUCAAAAGAUCCCUCAAAACUAACUAUGUAAAUCUUUAUUUUCUGAGAUACAUUUAAUCUACUAUUAUUUUUAUUUUUUGAGACAGGGUCUGACUCCGGUUGCCCAGGCUGGAGUGCAGUGGUAUGAUCUUGGCUCACUGUAGCCUCGACCUCCCAAGCGCAGGUGAUCCUCCCACCUCAGCCUCCCGAGUAGCUGGGAGUAGAGACGCACACCACCAUGCCUGGCUGGUUUAGUUUUUAGUAGAGAUGAGGUUUCACUAUGUUGCCCAGGCUGGUCUCAAACUCCUGGAAUCAAGUAAUCUGCCUCAGACUCCCAGAGUGUUGGGAUUAUAGGUAUGAGCCACUGCACCCAGCCCUACAUACAUUUUAGAAUAAGUUUAUUGAUUCUUCACAACACCGUAGUGGAAUUUGUAUUAGUAUUGCCUUGUAUCUAUUGACUAAUGAGAAGGUGAUUAACAUUUUUGUAACAGCAAGUGAUCACUCUGAGUAUGAACUGUCUCUCCAUUUGUUCAGAUCUUCUAUGUCUUUUAUUAUAGUUUUCUUCAUAGAGAGGGCUGUUGUGUCUUUUGAGUUAAUUUCUAAAUAUUUUAUGAUUUUUAUUAAUAUUAUGAAUUGUAGCUUUUUAAUAUUUUCUAGUUAAUUAUUACUCAAGUAAGGAGAUGCUAUUGAGCUUUCUAUGUUAACCUCACGUCUGGUAUCUUACCUAGGUUCUGUUAUUAGUCCUCAUAGUUUGAUUCUGUUAGUUUAUUCUAGAUGAAUGUUUAUGUAGUCUGCAAAUUAUGACAGGUUUUUUUUUUUUUUUUUGAGACAAAGUCUCACUCUGUUGCCUAGGCUGGAGUACAGUAGCAUGAUCUCGGCUCACUGCAACCUUCACCUCCCGGGUUCAAGCAAUUUUCCUGCCUCAACCUCCCGAGUAGCUGGGACUACAGGUGCACACUGCCACACCAGGCUAAUUUUUUGUAUUUUAGUAGAGAUGAGGUUUCACUGUGUUGCUCAGGCCGGUCUCAAACUCCUGAGCUCAGGCAAUCUGCCUGCCUCAGCCUCCGAAAGUGCUGGGAUUACAGGCAUGAGCCACUGUGCCUGGCCAGGUUUUAUUAUUUUAUUUUAUUUUAUUUUAUUUUUGAGACAGGGUCUUGCCCUGUUGCCCAGGCUGGAGUGCAGUAGCUCAAUCAUGGCUCACUACAGCCUCAACGUCCCAGGCUCAAGCGAUCCUCCCACUUCAGCCUCCUGGGUAGCUGGGGACUAUGGUGCAUGCCACUAUACCUGCUAGUUUUUUUUUUUUUUUUGAGAUGGGAUCUCUCUGUGUUGCCCAGGCUAGUCUCGAAUUCCUGAGCUCAAUCAAUCUACCUGCCUUAGCCUCCCAAAGUGCUAGGAUUACAGGCCUGGCCAAUUAUGGCAGUUUUGACUCUUUUCUACCAAGCUUAAAGCUUCUUAUUUCCUUUUCUUGCCUUAUAGCAUUCUUCAGCUCUCCAGUUCAAGGCUACAUAUCUACAGUAAUACCUUGUUACUAGUCUUAAUAUUAAUAAAAUGCAUCUACAAUUUCUCUGUGAAGUAUAAUAUUUGCUCUGGGGUUUGGCAGUGGGCCUUUACCAAGUUAUGAAGGUGCUCUUCUAUUUUUAGUUUGCUCUGAGUUUCUUUUUUUUUCCCCUUAAUCAUAAAUAGAUAAUGCCCUUUAUCAAUUGCUUUUCCUGGAAAAAUUGAGUUAAUCAUAUGAUUUUUCCCUUUCAGUCCAUCGAAGUGAUGGACGAUAUUGACAGAUUUUCUAAUGGCCAAGGCUUCUUGCUUUUCUAGGUUGAGCCCCACUUGAUCAUAAUGUAUUAUUUUAAUAUGCUGUUGGGUGCAAUUUUCUAAAAUUUUAUUUAAUGUUUGUACAUCCUAAUAUAAAGAUGAGAUGGACCUGUAAUUUUCUUUUCCUGAAUGUCCCUUUUGUGAUUUGGAAUCAAGAUUACAUGGGCUUCAGAAAUUAAGCUAGAAAGCUCUUACUCUUUACAUAAAUUUGGGGGCUGGCCGUGGUAGCUUACAUCUAUAAUCC
rnacentral:lncRNA from 1 species